UACGGGGGGGGUAAGCGUUGUUCGGAAUUACUGGGCGUAAAGGGCUCGUAGGCGGCCAACUAAGUCAGACGUGAAAUCCCUCAGCUUAACUGGGGAACUGCGUCUGAUACUGGAUGGCUUGGAUUCGGGAGAGGGAUGUGGAAUUCCAGGUGUAGCGGUGAAAUGCGUAGAUAUCUGGAGGAACACCGGUGGCGAAGGCGGCAUCCUGGACCGGUAUUGACGCUGAGGCGCGAAAGCUAGGGGAGCAAACGGG
rnacentral:rRNA from 1 species